AAUGGAGGAAACUCUGAUGCAGCAACGCCGCGUGGAGGACGAAGGUUUUCGGAUUGUAAACUCCUGUCUUUUGGGACGAUAAUGACGGUACCAAAAGAGGAAGCCACGGCUAACUACGUGCCAGCAGCCGCGGUAAUACGUAGGUGGCGAGCGUUGUCCGGAAUUGCUGGGCGUAAAGGGCGCGUAGGCGGCCUGUUAAGUCAGAUGUGAAACCCCCAGGCUCAACUUGGGGAUUGCAUAUGAAACUGGGAGACUUGAGUACGGGAGAGGAGAGUGGAAUUCCUAGUGUAGGAGUGAAAUCCGUAGAUAUUAGGAGGAACACCGGUGGCGAAGGCGGCUCUCUGGACCGAUACUGACGCUGAGACGCGAAAGCGUGGGUAGCAAA
rnacentral:rRNA from 1 species